UAGCACAACUAAAUGCAAAAAUUACCAAAGGCUUGUAAUUACUAGGGAAGGUAUCUGACAGAAUUCACUUGAAAGGGUGAGAGAGGUGCAAUGCAGCCAGGAGUAUCUGCAGACAUCUCCGUAUUCUAAUUACAGUGAUCACAUACUGCACUGAAACACUUACAACAAGAGAUGGAAUGAGAUUAAUCUGAAGAGAAUCGAGUCUUUUCAUACUCAUGACCAGGAAGGAGAAAUAAGAGGAAAA